GGUGAGUAAAUUAUACUAAUAUGGCGCGGACCGACGCAACAACAUUGCGUACAAUUUCUAAAGUCCCGGAAUAUUUUACCUUCAACGCUGAAAAGAGAAGAGCUGCCCUCGACAUCUGGACACCGGAACUUGCUUAACAUGGGACUACAUCAAACCAGCUGGCUGUGUCCUAUCCAGGCAUAUACAAGACAAGUGUAGUGUUCUUGGGUUUAUCUCCAUCGAGAGGGGGCGUUGUCUGCUGAAAAAGAAACAUGACCCUUGAGAUCCUUGUGUGGACAAGAUGGAGUUUAAUGACUUGGCAUAUCAGUAUUCAGUCCACACUAAGACAGUGCAAGUUGACAUCAGCACCAAUCAGUGGUACAAAACCACCGAAACAACUGUAUCAGUGUUUCUCAUAGAAUGAUGCUGUUCUGGUUAUGGGGGGAUCCAUUGAAAAUAUCUUCAUACAAUACUCUGUUUUUAUGACAUACUGUCUUUUAUUUGGCUAAUAUACACUACUUACAAAAAGUUAGGGAUAUUUUUCUUUAGGGUGAAAUUUAUGGAAACUGUAAAAAAUAUUUUAUUUAGGUAUGAGCAUGCAACGGUAAUUUAUUAAUCUCAAACAACUUAUUGAAACAAAAGUGAUGGAUAUACAACAACAAAAAGAUUUAAAUGUCUCAAUCACUCGUCAUUUUUCCUUGAGCAUUGGUUACAGCUUAACGACGAUGACGUCUCAUGCUGUCCACAA